GACGAACGCUGGCGGCGUGCCUAACACAUGCAAGUCGAGCGGAGGAUUCGAGAUGUUUACAUCGAAGGAUCCUUAGCGGCGGACGGGUGAGUAACACGUGGGUAACCUGCCUCAGAGUGGGGGAUAGCCUUUCGAAAGGAAGAUUAAUACCGCAUAAGAUUGUAGCGUCACAUGGCGCAGCAAGAAAAGGAGCAAUCCGCUUUGAGAUGGACCCGCGGCGCAUUAGCUAGUUGGUGAGGUAACGGCUCACCAAGGCCACGAUGCGUAGCCGACCUGAGAGGGUGAUCGGCCACAUUGGAACUGAGACACGGUCCAGACUCCUACGGGAGGCAGCAGUGGGGAAUAUUGCACAAUGGGCGAAAGCCUGAUGCAGCAACGCCGCGUGAGUGAUGAAGGCCUUCGGUCGUAAAGCUCUUUGAUCAGGGAUGAUAAUGACAGUACCUGAAAACAAGACCACGGCUAACUACGUGCC
rnacentral:rRNA from 1 species